rnacentral:lncRNA from 1 species
GGAUUGGGGGAUGGGAUGGAAGUGAGAGGGUGCAAGGGAGGAAGAAAGGAAGGAAACGACAAAGGAUGAAAGACUGAAGAAGAGAGGAAGGGAGGAAAGAAAUAUCAGAAUAUAAUUCAGUGCUUUCAAUACCACUUUCAAGAACCAUGAGGCAGGUUCUGCCACACCUUUUUCCGAUGCAGCCGCUUUGGGCUCCCCCACACUCCUGUGAGCAGCGCCUUGAUCAUGUUCCCAUUGGUAAGUGCAGUGAACUCAUAAGUUUGCCAAGCUGGACUUGGGCAGAGUGUUGAUGUGUGGUGUGGUGUGGUGCCCUGUCUGGUGAGAACAGACAUUUGUUUGUGAGGAGUCCCUCAGGAAAAGUCACACAAAAUCUGGGCUGGAAUGUGGCUGAGAGGUAGAGUUCUUUCCUGAAACAUGUUCAAUUCCCAAUACCACAGACUGGGUGAGAUAUAUAUAUAUCACACAAACACACACAAACAAAUGCACACGCACACAUGUACACAUGAUUCUCUGAGUUAAAUAUACCUCCAGACUCUGAUAUUUAUUGGCUAUAUAAAGUUGAAGUGAGGGGCUGGAGAGAUGGCUCAGUGGUUAAGAGCACUGCCUGUUCUUCCAGAGGUCCUGAGUUCAAAUCCCAGCAACCACGUGGAGGCUCACAACCAUCUCUCUGGGAUCCAAUGCCCUCUUUUUUUCUUUCUUUUU